rnacentral:rRNA from 1 species
UGGAUGAUGUUCUUUAAUUCGAUGCAACGCGAAAAACCUUACCCACCUUUGACAUGUACGGAAUCCUUUAGAGAUAGAGGAGUGCUCGAAAGAGAGCCGUAACACAGGUGCUGCAUGGCUGUCGUCAGCUCGUGUCGUGAGAUGUUGGGUUAAGUCCCGCAACGAGCGCAACCCUUGCCAUUAGUUGCUACGAAAGGGCACUCUAAUGGGACUGCCGGUGACAAACCGGAGGAAGGUGGGGAUGACGUCAAGUCCUCAUGGCCCUUAUAGGUGGGGCUAGAAACGUCAUACAAUGGCCGGUACAAAGGGUCGCUAAGCCGCGAGGUGGAGCCAAUCCCAUAAAGCCGGUCGUAGUCCGGAUCGCAGUCUGCAACUCGACUGCGUGAAGUCGGAAUCGCUAGUAAUCGUGGAUCAGCAUGUCACGGUGAAUACGUUCCCGGGUCUUGUACACACCGCCCGUCACACCAUGGGAGCGGGUCUCGCCAGAAGUAGGUAGCCUAACCGCAAGGAGGGCGCUUACCACGGCGGGGUUCGUGACUGGGGUGAAGUCGUAACAAGGUAGCCGUAUCGGAAGGUGCGGCUGGAUCACCUCCUU